UACCGCACCUUCACGGCACCACCCAUUAAUAUACUCUGCCAAAUCAAUCAACGAACAAUUUUAACGUCGAUCAGAAUGGCGGAGGAGAACAUGGCGGUGCAAUUAAAGCUAUACAAUACCAUGACGAAACAGAAGGAGGUAUUCAAAUUGAAGGAACCUGGAAAAGUUUGAAUGUAUCCAUUGAUUCAUAUCUAUUGUCU
rnacentral:lncRNA from 1 species